rnacentral:rRNA from 1 species
GGGGGGGGGGGGGGGGGGGGUGGGGGCGGGCGGGUGGGGCGAUGAGGCUUGAGGUGAGCGGUUCGGGGCGGAGAUAAAGUGGAUUGGCGGCGGACGGGUGAGUAACACGUGAGUAACCUGCCUUAGACAUUGGGAUAGCCUCGGGCAACCGGGUUGAAUACCACAUCAAAUGAUAAUUACACAUGUCCUAACGCUCACAACUCCGGUGGUCUAAGCUGGACUCGUGUCCCAUUAGCUAGGUGGUAGAGUAAAAGACUACCAAGGCGACGAGGGGGAGCCGGAGUGAGAGGGGGAACGGUCAAAGUGGAACUGAGACACGGUCCAAACUCCUACGGGAGGCAGCAGAUGGGAAUAAUGGACAAGGGAGGGAACGCAGAUGCAGAGACGCCGCGUGAACGAAGAAGGCUUUCGAGUCGGAAAGUUAUUUUAAAUGGGAAGAUAAUGACGGUACCAGAAGAAAAAGCACCGGCUAACUACGUG